UACGGAGGGAGCUAGCGUUGUUCGGAAUUACUGGGCGUAAAGCGCACGUAGGCGGCUUUGUAAGUUAGAGGUGAAAGCCCGGAGCUCAACUCCGGAACUGCCUUUAAGACUGCAUCGCUUGAAUCCAGGAGAGGUGAGUGGAAUUCCUAGUGUAGAGGUGAAAUUCGUAGAUAUUAGGAAGAACACCAGUGGCGAAGGCGGCUCACUGGCCCGGUACUGACGCUGAGGCGCGAAAGCGUGGGGAGCAAACAGG
rnacentral:rRNA from 1 species